ensembl:lncRNA
UCAGAAACCCAACACACAGGGUUCCUCCCCAGGCAGUGUUAAUUUCUCUCUCUCUCUUCCUGUUCCCAUCACGCUGUGGAUAAACCUUGGUCAGGGUCCUUCAGCUCUGUCCAGAUCGCCCUUUGUGCUCUUUUGAAUCCUCAUGCAGCCUCCAGUCUCUUAUGGCAGGGAGCCACUCCCUCCUCUUUCUCUCCCAGCCUGCGGCCUGUGUCCAGCGCUCUUUAGGGGCCUCGGAAAUAUUUGUUGGACGAGUGAGGAAAGUGUUUCUGGCAUUUACCACCUGCCAAGUGAAAAUAUGCGAGUUGGAUCCCGUUGCUAGGAUGAACUUUCAUUUCAAUUCCGCUGGUGGAAACAUUCUGGAAAAUAGUCUGGAUGGAUGGACAAAAUACGGUACAUCCACGAGGUAGACUACUACUUAGCCCUGAAAAGGGAUGGUCUAUUGAUACAUGCUAUGCCAUAGAUGAACCUCAAAUGAAAGAAGCCAGCCACAAAGACUGUUUCCUAUGAAAGUUCUAAAAAGGCAAAUCCUCAGAGACACAAGUAAGUGCAUGGUGGCCAGGGGAUGGGGUUGGAUAAGGGAAUAUACCAUUUGUCAACAGGUAUGAAGGAUCUUAUUGGAGAAGAAAAUGUUUUACUACUGAUGGUAGUGAAGUUACUCAGAACCCCCAGUCUGGGUCCAGCGUGCAAUGCUGGUAAAGUACGUGCGCCUGAGUAUGAUGAGCUCUACCCGUCCUGCACCUGGUGUCCAGGAUGUUGAGGAAUCUGCAAGAACACAGACUCAGGCUGGGAGAGCUGAAGACAGCAGUUUGGCUUAGAGGCCUCCGGAUCUCCAGUUUCUCCUGGUGCUGCUUGUUCUGAGAGCUCUUUAGCAGCCAGUUUGCAUUCCAGCCCCUUGACUACCCAGCUGUGUGACAGUGGCCUAUGGUGGAGCCCAAGAGUCUUGAAGCUGCGGCCUCCCUAGGAUCAGUUUGAAAUCGCCUGAACAUGCGAAGCGCUUACCCUUGCCUGCACCAGAGCUGAAAUGCAGCAGCUUUGUCUCUGGCUUCUCAACCUGCUGAUGCGUGCAUACAUCAUCCGGCCAAGAGGGGUUUAGAACGUCUCAGUAUUUUAUUAUCUGGAUGCAUUUACCUCCCUGGCCCCAAAGAGGCAUUUAUGAACUUCCUCGACGUAGAACAUGCUCUCUCU